rnacentral:rRNA from 1 species
UACGUAGGGGGCAAGCGUUGUCCGGAAUCAUUGGGCGUAAAGCGCGCGUAGGCGGCUCGAUCAGUCUGCUGUGAAAGUCAAAGGCUCAACCUUUGAAUGCCGGUGGAUACUGUCGAGCUAGAGUCCGGAAGAGGCGAGUGGAGUUCCUGGUGUAGCGGUGGAAUGCGCAGAUAUCAGGAGGAACACCAACGGCGAAGGCAGCUCGCUGGGACGGUACUGACGCUAAGGCGCGAAAGCGUGGGGAGCGAACAGG